CUACGGGGGGCAGCAGUGGGGAAUAUUGGACAAUGGGGGAAACCCUGAUCCAGCAAUGCCGCGUGUGUGAAGAAGGCCUUAGGGUUGUAAAGCACUUUCAGUAGUGAGGAAAAGUUUAAGGCUAAUACCCUUGAACCCUGACGUUAACUACAGAAGAAGCACCGGCUAACUUCGUGCCAGCAGCCGCGGUAAUACGAAGGGUGCAAGCGUUAAUCGGAUUUACUGGGCGUAAAGCGCGCGUAGGCGGUUUGAUAAGUCGGAUGUGAAAGCCCCGGGCUCAACCUGGGAAUUGCAUCCGAUACUGUCAGGCUAGAGUAUGGUAGAGGGAGGUGGAAUUCCACAUGUAGCGGUGAAAUGCGUAGAUAUGUGGAGGAACACCAGUGGCGAAGGCGACUUCCUGGACCAAUACUGACGCUGAGGUGCGAAAGCGUGGGGAGCAAACAGGAUUAGAUACCCGUGUAGUC
rnacentral:rRNA from 1 species